rnacentral:rRNA from 1 species
GAUGAACGCUGGCGGCGUGCCUAAUACAUGCAAGUCGAGCGAACGGACGAGAAGCUUGCUUCUCUGAUGUUAGCGGCGGACGGGUGAGUAACACGUGGAUAACCUACCUAUAAGACUGGGAUAACUUCGGGAAACCGGAGCUAAUACCGGAUGAUAUUUUGAACCGCAUGGUUCAAAAGUGAAAGACGGUCUUGCUGUCACUUAUAGAUGGAUCCGCGCUGCAUUAGCUAGUUGGUAAGGUAACGGCUUACCAAGGCAACGAUGCAUAGCCGACCUGAGAGGGUGAUCGGCCACACUGGAACUGAGACACGGUCCAGACUCCUACGGGAGGCAGCAGUAGGGAAUCUUCCGCAAUGGGCGAAAGCCUGACGGAGCAACGCCGCGUGAGUGAUGAAGGUCUUCGGAUCGUAAAACUCUGUUAUUAGGGAAGAACAUAUGUGUAAGUAACUGUGCACAUCUUGACGGUACCUAAUCAGAAAGCCACGGCUAACUACGUGCCAGCAGCCGCGGUAAUACGUAGGUGGCAAGCGUUAUCCGGAAUUAUUGGGCGUAAAGCGCGCGUAGGCGGUUUUUUAAGUCUGAUGUGAAAGCCCACGGCUCAACCGUGGAGGGUCAUUGGAAACUGGAAAACUUGAGUGCAGAAGAGGAAAGUGGAAUUCCAUGUGUAGCGGUGAAAUGCGCAGAGAUAUGGAGGAACACCAGUGGCGAAGGCGACUUUCUGGUCUGUAACUGACGCUGAUGUGCGAAAGCGUGGGGAUCAAACAGGAUUAGAUACCCUGGUAGUCCACGCCGUAAACGAUGAGUGCUAAGUGUUAGGGGGUUUCCGCCCCUUAGUGCUGCAGCUAACGCAUUAAGCACUCCGCCUGGGGAGUACGACCGCAAGGUUGAAACUCAAAGGAAUUGACGGGGACCCGCACAAGCGGUGGAGCAUGUGGUUUAAUUCGAAGCAACGCGAAGAACCUUACCAAAUCUUGACAUCCUUUGACAACUCUAGAGAUAGAGCCUUCCCCUUCGGGGGACAAAGUGACAGGUGGUGCAUGGUUGUUGUCAGCUCGUGUCGUGAGAUGUUGGGUUAAGUCCCGCAACGAGCGCAACCCUUAAGCUUAGUUGCCAUCAUUAAGUUGGGCACUCUAAGUUGACUGCCGGUGACAAACCGGAGGAAGGUGGGGAUGACGUCAAAUCAUCAUGCCCCUUAUGAUUUGGGCUACACACGUGCUACAAUGGACAAUACAAAGGGCAGCGAAACCGCGAGGUCAGGCAAAUCCCAUAAAGUUGUUCUCAGUUCGGAUUGUAGUCUGCAACUCGACUACAUGAAGCUGGAAUCGCUAGUAAUCGUAGAUCAGCAUGCUACGGUGAAUACGUUCCCGGGUCU